AGCGAACGCUGGCGGCAGGCCUAACACAUGCAAGUCGAACGAACCUUUCGGGGUUAGUGGCGGACGGGUGAGUAACACGUGGGAACGUGCCUUUAGGUUCGGAAUAACUCAGGGAAACUUGUGCUAAUACCGAAUGUGCCCUUCGGGGGAAAGAUUUAUCGCCUUUAGAGCGGCCGGCGUCUGAUUAGCUAGUUGGUUGAGGUAAUGGCUCACCAAGGCGACGAUCAGUAGCUGGUCUGAGAGGAUGAUCAGCCACAUUGGGACUGAGACACGGCCCAAACUCCUACGGGAGGCAGCAGUGGGGAAUCUUGCGCAAUGGGCGAAAGCCUGACGCAGCCAUGCCGCGUGAAUGAUGAAGGUCUUAGGAUUGUAAAAUUCUUUCACCGGGGACGAUAAUGACGGUACCCGGAGAAGAAGCCCCGGCUAACUUCGUG
rnacentral:rRNA from 1 species